rnacentral:rRNA from 1 species
AUUGAACGCUGGCGGCAGGCCUAACACAUGCAAGUCGAGCGGAUGAAGGGAGCUUGCUCCUGGAUUCAGCGGCGGACGGGUGAGUAAUGCCUAGGAAUCUGCCUGGUAGUGGGGGAUAACGUCCGGAAACGGGCGCUAAUACCGCAUACGUCCUGAGGGAGAAAGUGGGGGAUCUUCGGACCUCACGCUAUCAGAUGAGCCUAGGUCGGAUUAGCUAGUUGGUGGGGUAAAGGCCUACCAAGGCGACGAUCCGUAACUGGUCUGAGAGGAUGAUCAGUCACACUGGAAAUGAGACACGGUCCAGACUCCUAGGGGAGGCAGCAGUGGGUAAUAUUGGACACUGGGCGAAAGCCUGAUCCAGCCAUGCCGCGUGUGUGAAGAAGGUCUUCGGAUUGUAAAGCACUUUAAGUUGGGAGGAAGGGCAGUAAGUUAAUACCUUGCUGUUUUGACGUUACCAACAGAAUAAGCACCGGCUAACUUCGU